AGAGUUUGAUCCUGGCUCAGAGCGAACGCUGGCGGCAGGCCUAAAACAUGCAAGUCGAGCGCCGUAGCAAUACGGAGCGGCAGACGGGUGAGUAACACGUGGGAACGUACCCUUUGGUUCGGAACAACCCAGGGAAACUUGGGCUAAUACCGGAUAAGUCCGCAAGGAGAAAGAUUUAUCGCCGAAGGAUCGGCCCGCGUCUGAUUAGCUUGUUGGUGAGGUAACGGCUCACCAAGGCGACGAUCAGUAGCUGGUCUGAGAGGAUGAUCAGCCACACUGGGACUGAGACACGGCCCAGACUCCUACGGGAGGCAGCAGUUAGGAAUCUUGGACAAUGGGCGCAAGCCUGAUCCAGCCAUGCCGCGUGGGUGAUGAAGGCCCUAGGGUUGUAAAGCCCUUUCAGCGGGGAAGAUAAUGACGGUACCCGCAGAAGAAGCCCCGGCUAACUUCGUGCCAGCAGCCGCGGUAAU
rnacentral:rRNA from 1 species